UUAUUCAUGCUGGCCUUGUAUGAAUCCAAGUGAUGUGGCUCUUAGCUACCACCAUUGAAGUUGCUCUUGGCUUUCUACCAGCUCCAGGUCUCUUGAUAUUUAAUUUCAUACUGAAAGGAAGAAUAGAACAAAGAGUAAUGAUAAUCUGACAUGCUUCAGGAUGGCUGUUGCUUUCAGGCAAGUGCAGGCUGACAAGUGUACAAGAAGCCUUCAAAUCCAUAGUAAGAGUGAUGUAUGGUGAGUGUAUAACUUGAAGGAUGUGAAGCUAAGACUGCCUAAAUGAUAUUUCAGCUAAGCACUCACAUUUAAAACUCAUCCAAUGGGGCUGCCAUUCAACAUCCUACUCUCCUUUUCCUCAUUGUGUCUUGCCUUGCAGUGGGGAGAGUACAAGUUAAUCAGCAGGAUUGGUUGUUGAGCUUCUGAAGAUCACGGAAGGGUAUAAUUGCAGAAGGUGUGGUGGUGAUUUCACAGGCCCCAGCAAAGUGGGGUUGUGAGGUUUAUACCAGCAGAAAGCC